UUAUCAAAAAUUCAAGUGGUUCAUGUGGGAACCCAGCUCCUCUUAUUCAUGAAUUAUGGUGUAUUGUUCAUUAGGAGGAGAAGAGUCAGCCAUUGGAAAAGGAGCUAAAAAGUCAAGUAGUGCCACCAGCUCUAUGCUGACAGUGGCGGUGUAGGACUGCAGGGCAGUCUAGUAAAAAAGAUGGAGCUGUUUUCUUUUGAUUUUUAUUGAAAUUAGUUGGAUUUAUUCAAAGUUUUUAUUUGGGAAAAAAGAAAAAAACCUUCAAAAAUUUUAAUAUUUUUCUGACUUCACCUUUACCCCCCUACUUUGAAUUUUUUUAAGUUCAAUUUUAUUAUUUGUGUCUGUGUGUGCACACACACGUGUGUGAUCUCUGCUCUCUGGAGUCACUUUGGUCUGUCUGCCCUUCUGUGGGUUUCAGGAAUCAGACUCACACCAUCACGCUCCACCCUCUAAGCCAUCGAAUUGGCCUUUUUAAGUUUCCUGAGGUUUAAUUAAGUAGUUCUGAUUACAUCUUCCUCCAUUUGGUUCAUUUCCUAAAUGAUUUAUGUUUUUAAAUAUACAGUCCAUAAAUUAAAAGUAGACCAUAAUCUACCAUUUACUUUUAAAAAGUUAAAAAUCUCUUUUCUCUGAUUAUUAGGCAAAGUAUAAAGAAGUAAAAGCAAGAAAUGGACAAUUACUAAAAAUGCUUCAGGAAGGAGAAAUGAAAGAUAAGGCAGAAAUACUCCUGCAAGUCGAUGAAUCCCAAAGUAUCAAGAAUGAGCUGACAGUCCAGGUGACCUCACUGCACGCCGCAUUGGAACAAGAAAGAUCUAAAGUGAAAGUAUUACAGGCAGAAUUAGCCAAAUACCAGGUAUGUUUUAUAGUUUGAAAGUUUUCUUUAUAGUUACAUUUGGAGUAGAUACAAUGUAAGAAUAAAUGUGCUAUAUUAUUCUUAAGCAAAAAUUUAUUCACCAGAUAUAUUAAUGACUUUGUAUAAAAAGUAUUUAUCUAUGUUUAUAUGUAUGAGUUUGCGGUGGGCGGGGCUGUGGAGGCCAGGGAGUAUGCUGGAUUCUCUGAAUCUAGAGUUAGAAACACUGUGAGCCUCCUGACCUGGGCUGGAACUGAACCCAGCCCUCAGAAGAGCAGCAAGCACUCUUGGCCACUAAGCCAUCUCUCCAGCCCUGUGUUGAUGCUUCCAUUAUGGCCAGAUAAUGAACAUUUUCAAAAAUAUAAAAGUAAUUUUAGGUAUUGUGUAUAUGACAAUAACUCAAGUGAUUCGGUAGAUGCAUUGGAGCUGCGCAGACAAUCUGCACUGCUAACUAGGUGACAGGAAGGCACAUUAGAGCUGUGCAGACAUCACAACAUCACACAUUUGAUGACUUGGAUGUAGAUUCUGCUCUUUUAACUGAAAAGUGUACAGAUGGAUUCUUUGACAUUGUGUGACCUUUCACCCAGGGAUUUUAUAUCCAUUGAUGUUAUAUGCAUUCAUUAUUAUUUUGAUGACAUUUUAGAUUCUCAGCUUAAGAAGAUAACUCAGCUCUUUUUUCCUGUGUGAAGCAGUAGAGAGUAAUCAUCAGUACUUUCCUUUAAUACUGUGUCAGGUGUGUUCUUACACACUGUUGGGGAAUAUUAGUUUAAGCUGUCUCUUGUUUAUGCUGCGUUUGUUUAACUCUGUGAAGCUGUGUUACUGUGCCUUUCUAAAACACAUGUAAAUAAAGAGCUGAGCAGCCAAUAGCGAGGCAGGAGAGAGAAACAGGCGAGGCCGGCAGGCAGAGAGGAUAGACAUGAGGAGAGAUCUGGGAGAAAGAGAUAGGAGGAUCUGGGAAUGAGAGAGGAAGGAGGAGGAUUUCAGGGCCCAGCCACAGUUACACAGCUACACAGCCACACAGCCAGACACAGAGUAAGAAGGAAAGGAAAGGUACACAGGAAUAAGGAAAGAUAAGAACCCUGAGGCAAAAGAUAGAUGGGAUAAUUAAGAAAAGCUGGCAAGAAACAAGCCAAGAUGAUAAGGCCAGGCAUUCAUAAGUGAGAAUAAACUUUUGUGUGUCAUUUAUUUGGGAUCUGGGUGGUGGGCCCCCAAAGCAGAAAAGAAUAAAAAAUGAACAACUACAAUGUACUUACACAUAUACAUGUAAAUCAUCAAUGUGAAAACAUGGUAAAAAAUAAAAAAGGUUUGAAAGUCACUGGUGGCAUAGAGAAUAUAAGAAUUACCUAAUCUAGCCUGGCAUGGUGUGGUGACACACACCUUUAAUCCCAGCACUUGGGAGGCAGAGGGAGGUGUUUCUCUAUGACUUCAAAGACAGCCUCAUCAUAAUGAGAUAUUGAAAGCAGUCCUUGCAUGUCUAUUAUGUCGGGUUUUGGGUUUUGGGUUUUUGAGACAGGGUUUUUCUGUGUAGCCUUGGCUGUCCUGGAAAUCACUCUGUAGACUAGGCUGGCCUUGAACUCACAGAGAUCCACUUGUGUCUGCCCUCUGAGUGCUAAAAGGUGUGCACCACCACUGCCUAGCUAAUUUAUUUAUUUACUUAUUUUUUGUUCGAUCUCAGUGAAUUUUUCACACUGGCAGUAUCACAGACCCAAUGGUGCUUAUCCCAGCUGUCUUAUCAAGAGAUAUGAUAUGUAGCAUAAACUCUAAUUGGUGUUAAAAUAAAAACCCAGAGUCAGAUAUACGGGUUAAUGCUGAAGAUCAGAGAAGCAGAGCGGCCAGCCACUAGAGAGUUCUUUUACCUCUGCCAGUGCUCAGAUUAAAGGGCUGAUCCUGUCCUCAGAUUCCAUCUGUCUCCAUCAAAUCUGAGAUUGCAGUGAGUUUUUGUCUCCUCCCGUGUUAUAUUCCUCUUUCCACCCAACCAUAUCAUUCCUGUCUCUACAUCCCUAGUGCUGGGAUUAAAGAUGUGGAAUUGCAAGUGCUGGGAUCACCUUUGUGUGAGCUCUGUUUCUCUUUUAAACAGAUUCAAUCUUGUGUACUCACAGAGAUCCAUCUGUCUCUGCCCUCUGAGUUCUGGGAUUACAGGUGUAAACCACCACCACCUGGCCUCUAGUGGCUCAGCACUGCACUCUGAUCUUCAGGCAAGCUUUAUUUGUUAAAACACAAACAAAAUAUCACUACAUUUCUCCUUUUUUGUCAAAAAUAA